rnacentral:rRNA from 1 species
GCGGGACACGUGGUAUCCUGUCUGAAUAUGGGGGGACCAUCCUCCAAGGCUAAAUACUCCUGACUGACCGAUAGUGAACCAGUACCGUGAGGGAAAGGCGAAAAGAACCCCGGCGAGGGGAGUGAAAAAGAACCUGAAACCGUGUACGUACAAGCAGUGGGAGCCUCUUAAUGGGGUGACUGCGUACCUUUUGUAUAAUGGGUCAGCGACUUAUAUUCUGUAGCAAGGUUAACCGAAUAGGGGAGCCGAAGGGAAACCGAGUCUUAACUGGGCGCUAAGUUGCAGGGUAUAGACCCGAAACCCGGUGAUCUAGCCAUGGGCAGGUUGAAGGUUGGGUAACACUAACUGGAGGACCGAACCGACUAAUGUUGAAAAAUUAGCGGAUGACUUGUGGCUGGGGGUGAAAGGCCAAUCAAACCGGGAGAUAGCUGGUUCUCCCCGAAAGCUAUUUAGGUAGCGCCUCGUGAAUUCAUCUCCGGGGGUAGAGCACUGUUUCGGCAAGGGGGUCAUCCCGACUUACCAACCCGAUGCAAACUGCGAAUACCGGAGAAUGUUAUCACGGGAGACACACGGCGGGUGCUAACGUCCGUCGUGAAGAGGGAAACAACCCAGACCGCCAGCUAAGGUCCCAAAGUCAUGGUUAAGUGGGAAACGAUGUGGGAAGGCCCAGACAGCCAGGAUGUUGGCUUAGAAGCAGCCAUCAUUUAAAGAAAGCGUAAUAGCUCACUGGUCGAGUCGGCCUGCGCGGAAGAUGUAACGGGGCUAAACCAUGCACCGAAGCUGCGGCAGCGACACUAUGUGUUGUUGGGUAGGGGAGCGUUCUGUAAGCCUGUGAAGGUGGCCUGUGAGGGUUGCUGGAGGUAUCAGAAGUGCGAAUGCUGACAUAAGUAACGAUAAAGCGGGUGAAAAGCCCGCUCGCCGGAAGACCAAGGGUUCCUGUCCAACGUUAAUCGGGGCAGGGUGAGUCGACCCCUAAGGCGAGGCCGAAAGGCGUAGUCGAUGGGAAACAGGUUAAUAUUCCUGUACUUGGUGUUACUGCGAAGGGGGGACGGAGAAGGCUAUGUUGGCCGGGCGACGGUUGUCCCGGUUUAAGCGUGUAGGCUGGUUUUCCAGGCAAAUCCGGAAAACCAAGGCUGAGGCGUGAUGACGAGGCACUACGGUGCUGAAGCGACAAAUGCCCUGCUUCCAGGAAAAGCCUCUAAGCAUCAGGUAACAUCAAAUCGUACCCCAAACCGACACAGGUGGUCAGGUAGAGAAUACCAAGGCGCUUGAGAGAACUCGGGUGAAGGAACUAGGCAAAAUGGUGCCGUAACUUCGGGAGAAGGCACGCUGAUAUGUAGGUGAAGCGACUUGCUCGUGGAGCUGAAAUCAGUCGAAGAUACCAGCUGGCUGCAACUGUUUAUUAAAAACACAGCACUGUGCAAACACGAAAGUGGACGUAUACGGUGUGACGCCUGCCCGGUGCCGGAAGGUUAAUUGAUGGGGUUAGCGGUAACGCGAAGCUCUUGAUCGAAGCCCCGGUAAACGGCGGCCGUAACUAUAACGGUCCUAAGGUAGCGAAAUUCCUUGUCGGGUAAGUUCCGACCUGCACGAAUGGCGUAAUGAUGGCCAGGCUGUCUCCACCCGAGACUCAGUGAAAUUGAACUCGCUGUGAAGAUGCAGUGUACCCGCGGCAAGACGGAAAGACCCCGUGAACCUUUACUAUAGCUUGACACUGAACAUUGAGCCUUGAUGUGUAGGAUAGGUGGGAGGCUUUGAAGUGUGGACGCCAGUCUGCAUGGAGCCGACCUUGAAAUACCACCCUU